rnacentral:lncRNA from 1 species
GGACACCAAUUCCGUCGGAAUUUCAAUUUACCCGGGAAAACCAAACCGCGUGAAAAUUUUCGCGAACCGCCAAUUGGUAUAUAUUUAAUUAUCCCGACGGAAUACUGACGAACCUGUGUCCGUCGGAAACAUUAAAUAUAAUUACCCUUCUUCUUCCUUCUUCGUUAUUUCCGCCUCCGCCUCUCUCUCAAUCCUCUCCGCGAUUUCUCUCCCUUUCACGGCGAUUCCGACCAUUCUCGAGCUCCUAUCACCGGCGAAUCCUCUUCUCACCCUCAUAUCUCUUCCCCAAACCCCAAAUCAUGUAAGAAUCAUCCCAACCUUGUUUUAUCUCAUUUUUUUAGGGUUUUGGAAGUUAGAUCUCGGAUUUUAGGUUGUUUGAUUGAAAAUUUUAGGAUUGAAUGGAUAGUUUAGGAUAUAUAAGUUAGGAUUGUUGUUUGGAUUGUUGUUUUAGUUUUUCUUGGAAUUAUUUUGUGUGUUUGUUAAAAUUCAAAACGUUUUACUAUUUUUAAAACGUUUUUUUUAUUUUUAAAAACGUUUUUCAAGUUUCCAGUAAUAAACUAUGUAUAAUAAAAUGUUUUUUAAAAAUUUUAAAAAUAUUUAACAACAUUUUUCUAUAUUUAUAAAAAAUUUAUAAUUUUGUAUAUAUAUAUAUAUAUAUAUAUUAAUCAUGUAUAAUAAAAAAUUUUAAAAUUUUUAUAAUUUUUUAUAAGUUUCCUGUAAUAAACUAUGUAUAAUAAAAGGUUUAAUAGUUUUUUUUAAAACGUUUAUAAAACCUUUUGUAAAUAUAUAAAUGAAAACAUUAAAAAUAAAAAUGAUUUGAAAAGAUUUUUGAUGUAUUAAUUUUUUUUUUAGGUCUGAGGAUGUACCCCGCCCCGCAGCCCGUCUUCGACGUAGUUUGGUGAGCAGUUCCCGUGCAUCGGGAUCGUCUCACGAACAAAACUCGGUUCCCGCAUAUAUUCCCGCUCCAGAAGAAGUUCAGCGCCGAGAUAAUGCAGAAGCUAGAUCGUUUGAUGUCUUCGAGUUCUUAGUUUUUUUCUGCUUUUUAAAACUUUCUGAAUGUUUUUUUUUCUAUUUCGGUUUGUAUGAAUUUUUAACUUUCUGAAUGUUUUUUUUUCUAUUUCGGUUUGUAUGAAUUUAAAUUCUAUAAUAUUAUUAGUUUUAAAUUUCAGAUUUUAUUUAUUUAUUUAUUAAUUUUUAAUAUAAAAAAAUAUAAAAAUGCAAAAUUAAUUCGUAUUUAAAAUUGAUAUAUUCCGACGAAUUGAGGGCGUCGGAAUAUACCGACGAAUGAAGUCGUCGGAAAAUACCGACGGAGAAGGUUCCUCGGAAAAUUCCGACGAACCAUAGUCCGUCGGUAUUUUCCGAGGACUCGGUUCGUCGGUAUAGUCCGAGGAACGUGCUCCUUCGGUAUAUAGUUUUUCCGAUGAACUCUGGUCUCGUGUGUCCGCAUCGGAAUAUCGUCGGAAGUUCGUCAGAAUGACGUUUCUCGGUAUUCGUCAAAAAGUCGUCGGAAGGUCUGACGAAAUUCCGACGAAUCUUUUUUUUCCGACGAAAUUAUACCGACGGACUGGUUCGUCAGAAAUUCGUCAGGAUCGGUCUAUUCCGACGAAUUUCUGACGAUUUCGGUCAUCAGAAUCCCCCUGUUUUCUUGUAGUGAUUUUGAAGGAGACCUCUAGACUUUUC